CUUUUAUGGAGAGUUUGAUCCUGGCUCAGGACGAACGCUGGCGGCGUGCCUAAUACAUGCAAGUCGAG
rnacentral:rRNA from 1 species